rnacentral:lncRNA from 1 species
CGUGAGCGACGCAGGGACAGACAGGAUUAUUGUCGCUACUUCGAGCUGUUAGUGACCUCGGGGUGUGUCACCGUCCCCGAAGACCUGAGCCGCGGGCAGCUGCCUCCUGGACGUGUGUCAGCCCGCACUAACGGGCUCUAACAUUUUGCUUCUAAGUAUUGGAAAACCAACCGGUGCGGGAUUGGGAACAGCGUGGUGUCUCGACGCCAACAUCAAAUUCGCUUCCUUGGUUUUUCGUUUUGUGUUGGAGGAGGCUCACUCGGCCACUCCACCUCGAUGCCUCUGCUUGACAGUGGCGGACACUGUUCUGUCCAACACGAAAUCUGUGCGUUUACAGCGGGUGCUCAUCCGCGCCUGCAGGCUCUAGGGAGCUCCGAAAGAUUCACAGUAGAGAUCAAAGCCCUUCAUAAAGGAAGAAAGGAAGGAAAGAAGGAAAGGAUGGAGGGAACAAAGAGAAAAAAAGGGAAGAAAGAAGAAAGGGGAAGAGAAAAAAGAGUAGAGGCACCACGAAUAAUGAAACUCUUGAAACAAAUGUUUUCAGUUCUGUGGGAUCAAGAGAUUGACACUUUGAAAACAUCACAAGGAUAUCAAAAAGGAAGUGAAAAUACAGACUAUAAAAUGGGAGAAAAAACAUAUGAGAAGAUAAGUCAAUGCGGUAAUGUAAGAUGAUAAUCUGGCACCCUGGCAAAUGUGUUUUCUUUUUCGUUAAAGCACUGAUAAAUACAAAAUUCAGGGUAUUUGCUAUGUCUGUGUAACAGAGGGCUAGGAAGUUGGAGGAACUCACGUGUACAGUCAUAGGCACUGGCCGAGGUCGGUAUUUGAGUCCAGUGGUACAAGUUUAGCUAUUUCUAUGCUUUACAACUUUCACCUUUAUUCCAUCUCACCAAAUAAAAAGCUCACUAUAAAAUUUGAAAGACUGGAA